UGCCUUAUAAUGUAACCUAAUAAUUCAUUGAAAAUGCUAAUGACAUGAAAAGUUUCUCCUCCGAUCGCUGACACAAAGCACAAGGUCGGACAUUGGUGAUUGAUGAGAAAUGUUUAUAAUUAUAUUGGAUAUAAAGAAUGGUGAUGUCAGCUGAGCCGACAAACAUGCAUGGAGCCUCGUUUGGUCAGGACUACUUGCACAUACAUCAGUCGACUUCAACAAGUCGACUAUUCUAAUUAAUUUCAAUUGGCAGGUGGUGAGUCGCCGCUCAUUGGAUGGGCCCCUCAAAUCAGUCGCCGCGAUUGGCGACGAAGGGGCAACAUUGGCGUGGGCGGCUAAGGGUGUAGAGAGGUGAGUCUGCGGGGCGCGAAAUCGUGGUGAUCCAGUCAGACGCCCCCGGUGUUGACAUUUUACACUUCCACCCUUCGAGCAUAUAGCUCUCGCGACUCCACUCUGGCCGGCCGAUGAAGACAAGCCAGAGGUAGGGGUCCUGUUACCUCUCGGUUUCCACUUCAACCUUGGGGAAGGAAGGCGGAGGUGAGGAACAGGGGCCUCCCCUGGGAGCACUCAGGUCCGUGGGGUCGCUACUCCCCAACAGCUCGCCACAAGCUGUCCUGCGGGCAUAUUAUUAUUAAUAUUAUGCAUCUCCUUUUAAAAAUUCACGGCACUAAAUCCAGUCCUUUAUGAGACUUGUAUAUUGGUAUGGAUCCCACACGUAGAGACCCUUUGUAGAGUUUUGAUGUCCCGCCAAUAUUAUUAUUAUUACGACCACACAUCUUGACCAGAAUUCUCCGUUCUGGAAAACUGUAAUACAAGCUCUGUCUACAUCAGUCUCCAUUUUCCUCCAAAUUAAAGUGUCGGUUUUAGUAGAUGUUUAUUGUUUAGUAUACUUGUAUUCUGUGCCUUUGUCCGCCUUUGUGCCUUUUUAUUUUAUUUUUGUAUUGUUAUUUUUUUUGUUAAUUUAGCUUUUGGUGCAAUAAAGAGUAUUGUAUUGUAUUGUAUUCUUGUUAGAUUAUUAUGAAGAGCAAUAAAUAUAUUUGUGGCGUGCUAGCCGCCACUAGCCGCGCUGGUUAACUCGUCAGUAAGGCGGCUGUUAGGAACCGUACGAGUACCUACCGGUAAUAUACACUUAUCUACACAAUUUUAUCUUUUAUAUUUAUCUCAUUAGGCCUCCCAAGACGAAUUUGGGCA